rnacentral:rRNA from 1 species
UACGUAGGACGCGAGCGUUAUCCGGAGUUACUGGGCGUAAAGCGCGGGCAGGCGGUCUGACAAGUCUGAUGUGAAAUCUCCGGGCUUAACCGGGAGAGGCCAUUGGAAACUGACAGGCUGGAGGGCAGUAGAGGUAGGCGGAAUUCCGGGUGGAGUGGUGAAAUGCGUAGAGAUCCGGAGGAACACCAGAGGCGAAGGCGGCCUACUGGGCUGCACCUGACGCUGAGCCGCGAAAGCCAGGGGAGCGAACGGG